AUUGAACGCUGGCGGCAUGCCUUACACAUGCAAGUCGAACGGCAGCGCGGACUUCGGUCUGGCGGCGAGUGGCGAACGGGUGAGUAAUACAUCGGAACGUACCCUGUUGUGGGGGAUAACUAGUCGAAAGAUUAGCUAAUACCGCAUACGACCUGAGGGUGAAAGUGGGGGACCGGAAAUGGCCUCAUGCAGCAGGAGCGGCCGAUGUCUGAUUAGCUAGUUGGUGGGGUAAAGGCCCACCAAGGCGACGAUCAGUAGCUGGUCUGAGAGGACGAUCAGCCACACUGGGACUGAGACACGGCCCAGACUCCUACGGGAGGCAGCAGUGGGGAAUUUUGGACAAUGGGGGCAACCCUGAUCCAGCAAUGCCGCGUGUGUGGAGAAGGCCUUCGGGUUGUAAAGCACUUUUGUCCGGAAAGAAAUCGCGCUGGUUAAUACCUGGCGUGGAUGACGGUACCGGAAGAAUAAGCACCGGCUAACUACGUG
rnacentral:rRNA from 1 species